UACGGGAGGCAGCAGGGGGAAUAUUGCACAAUGGGCGAAAGCCUGAUGCAGCUAUGCCGCGUGUAUGAAGAAGGCCUUAGGGUUGUAAAGUACUUUCAUCGGGGAGGAAAAAACAAAACUAAUAAUUUUAUUUCUUGACGUUACCCGAAAAAGAAGCACCGGCUAACUCCGUGCCAGCAGCCGCGGUAAUACGGAGGGUGCUAGCGUUAAUCAGAAUUACUGGGCGUAAAGAGCACGUAGGUGGUUUUUUUAAGUCAGAUGUGAAAUCCCUGGGCUUAACCUAGGAACUGCAUUUUGAAACUGAAAUACUAGAGUAUCGUAGAGGGAGGUAGAAUUCUAGGUGUAGCGGUGAAAUGCGUAGAUAUCUGGAGGAAUACCUGUGGCGAAAGCGGCCUCCUAAACGAAUACUGACACUGAGGGUGCGAAAAGCGUGGGGAGCAAAACAGGGAUUAGAUACC
rnacentral:rRNA from 1 species